rnacentral:rRNA from 1 species
UACGUAGGGCGCAAGCGUUGUCCGGAAUUAUUGGGCGUAAAGAGCUCGUAGGCGGUUUGUCGCGUCUGUCGUGAAAGCUUGGGGCUUAACCCCAAGUCUGCGGUGGAUACGGGCAGACUAGAGGCAGGUAGGGGAGAACGGAAUUCCCGGUGUAGCGGUGAAAUGCGCAGAUAUCGGGAAGAACACCUAUGGCGAAGGCAGCUCUCUGGGACGGUACUGACGCUGAGACGCGAAAGCGUGGGGAGCGAACAGG